ACCGCACCGGUGACGGCGAUGAUGGUUAUGGCGCCUAAGGAUGAUGAAGAGUCUUGAGAUGGUUGAUACACGGCUGAGAUUGAUGGAGAUUGUGGUCUGAUCGUCUGUGGAGAUGACCAUGGAGGUAGCUGUGGAGAUAUGGUGUAGUAAUCAGGUUCUUGAUAGCAGUUAUAAGGGCAAACCGGGUCACAGAUUCCUAUUGAGCAAUCAAAUGUUUUGUUUGUCUCCGAUGCUAAUAUUGGGAAGAGCUUUCUAUGUUUCUUCUUGGCCAUUAAAGAAAAAUGGUAUUGUUUCUUGGUGUCCAAGGAACUAAGAUCAAGAGAAAUUGCAAGGGCAUGUGAGAACUGAAAUGUUCAUAGAAAUUUCGGUUUUUGACAAUGUAGAAGAUGGUUUGAUUUUAUCUUUGGUGUUUCUUUCACAUUCAAGAGAAAGGAAGAUGAAAAUGUCUUCUCAUCUUAGGUAAUUGACUUGUUCUGUGACAAGUUGAAGCAUCUUCUAAUUGUUUAAUUGGUGGUGAGUCUUAGUCAUGAAAGCCAUAUAUUACCUUUGAGCUUUUGACUCUUUGGCUUUUGAAGACUUAAGUAAUGUUUAUCCUUUGUUGGCCUUCGGCAGACUAUAAUAUAUAAAUAUAUCCCCUAUACAUUAAUCAUAGAGCAUUACAACAUGUUUUCGUAGCCACGUGUCAUCACGAAAAUGAUUCUUAGAAUUGUUAGAAAAAUAAGUUGGUCCAUAUAAACAUAUUAUAUGCUUUUUAUUAAACUAAUUAUCAAAUUAAUCCCCUAUAUAUUAAUUGAGGAACAUUUGAAAAGAUGUAAUCUCAAUUUUGUAAUAAUUAAAAAAGACCUCUUGCUUAUGUGUCAAUCAAUUAGGUAGUUAAUUAGUCAUACGUAUCAGCCUUACAUUGAAAUUGAAAAACAAGUUGGUCCAAUUCGAUUUUUAUAUCUCACUAGAAACAUUUAAUAUCAACUAUAUAAUAUCAUAUGAUAUUUAUUAAAGCAAGGUGGCUAUUUAUUAUAUAUUAUUUCCUUAAAUAAAACCUACGGAAUUACCUAAUGUGAUUAUGAUAUAUAUAGUAAUUAAUGAUUUUAAAUAAUGAAGAUUUGCUAAUAAUCUGUAUGCUUUCUAUCAUUUUUGUUUAAUUAUUUACUAUUAAAAUAAAUUACACAAUUACAUUAAUCAUAUAUUAAAAAUUUAAAUUUUUUUGUAUAUGUUGUAUUUUGAAAUUUUCAAAACGAGUAUAAAUUACUAAAACUGUUAAAAGUCUCACAUAAACUUUUGUGAUCAAUGUUUAAAUUUUUUUCUAUAGUAAGAUACAAUGAUAAUAAAAUCAUAUAAAUAAAUAAUUUUAUUUUAAUAGGUGUUUAUGUUAAUAUAUAUAUAUACACUUCAUAUCGUUUAAAUUUAAUUAUAUAUCAUAUACGAUAGAUAAGACUGAUUGUUUUGAUUUAUUUAUUCUAAAAUGAUUGCGAAUAAACAAGAACGGUCAUUUGAUUUAUAUGUGCAAGCCAAUUUAUUACAUAAUAGUAACUGAUUUCUUAGUUAUUUAAUAUAUAAUUAUUAUUUUAUUAUUUCAUAAUAUGCAGAAAAAUAUAAAAUAAGUAUUUAUUCUGCACAAGGCGCAUAUCUUAACCUAAAUAUGUAUCUCUUUAAUAAUUUUGAAUCUUAAACAUUUUCUAAAUCUCAGGCCAAAAUAAAAGAAAGAAAUGAGAAUAAACUCAAAAAUUAAUAUUUAUAUCGAGCAAUAACCAAAAUGACACAAAAAUGAGAAAAAUAUCGAAGAUAGAUAGGAUUGGCACGUGAACGUAAACUUCUCAUAACCAUCAUUAACUUUUAAAUUACUAAAUCAUAAUAUAAAACCGAGCUGACAUAGUUUCAUUGUAACCAAAUAGUAGGCAUGAGAUAUUUCGACCUAAACGUUAGGUUUUUAUGCGAUAAAUAAUUUUUUGACCUAAAAUAUUUUUAAAAAUGAGAUCAGUAUAACUUGCUCAUCCGCCUCUGUUUCGAACCCACCACCGUCGUUAACCUCGUUUACAGCUCCAAUUUCAAUCCUUACAUCUGAACUCUGAUCUGUGUUACUUGAACUCAACGUCUCUUUAGAACCAGAUUCAUCAUUCUCGACCUCUCCACGAUCAUCAUCAACCACACGAGAUCCUGAUCCUCCGGGAGGUACAUCAACCGGACCAGAACACCGUGGAGUACUGAUAGCUAUACCAGCUCGACACAAAGGACAGUUUGUAUGAGACCUAAGCCACGUGUCAAUACAAAAGAUGUGAAACGCAUGGUUGCAUUUAGGCAACAACCUAAGACUCUCAUCUUCUUCAAACUCGUUUAAACAGACAGGACAGUCUGUUCUCUCUAUCAAGCCAUCUCCUCUCUUGUAACUACAGAUCGUGAUCGAGUUUAUGAUCGAUUGUUGCAGACCUGUUGUCCUGAUCAACCAGAUCGGAUGAUCUACUUGCUCCGUGUCUUGAAACUCUUCAUCUAUUGCACCGUCGUGGCCGUCUCUCUGGGACUGAUAACUUUCGAGGUUGACUCUGUUAACGCUCUUUGUAACGUAUUUGGCUACAAGAAAGAAUCCUGUGAGAAGGAUGGCUAAGACCGCACCGGUGACGGCGAUGAUGGUUAUGGCGCCUAAGGAUGAUGAAGAGUCUUGAGAUGGUUGAUACACGGCUGAGAUUGAUGGAGAUUGUGGUCUGAUCGUCUGUGGAGAUGACCAUGGAGGUAGCUGUGGAGAUAUGGUGUAGUAAUCAGGUUCUUGAUAGCAGUUAUAAGGGCAAACCGGGUCACAGAUUCCUAUUGAGCAAUCAAAUGUUUUGUUUGUCUCUGAUGCUAAUAUUGGGAAGAGCUUUCUAUGUUUUCUCUUGGCCAUUAAAGAAAAAUGGUAUUGUUUCUUGGGGUA
rnacentral:lncRNA from 1 species